rnacentral:rRNA from 1 species
AGUGAACGCUGGCGGUAGGCCUAACACAUGCAAGUCGAACGGCAGCACAGUAAGAGCUUGCUCUUACGGGUGGCGAGUGGCGGACGGGUGAGGAAUACAUCGGAAUCUACUUUUUCGUGGGGGAUAACGUAGGGAAACUUACGCUAAUACCGCAUACGACCUACGGGUGAAAGCAGGGGAUCUUCGGACCUUGCGCGAUUGAAUGAGCCGAUGUCGGAUUAGCUAGUUGGCGGGGUAAAGGCCCACCAAGGCGACGAUCCGUAGCUGGUCUGAGAGGAUGAUCAGCCACAAUGGAACUGAGACACGGUCCAGAAUCCUACGGGAGGCAGCAGUGAGGAAUAUUGGACAAUGGGCGCAAGCCUGAUCCAGCCAUACCGCGUGGGUGAAGAAGGCCUUCGGGUUGUAAAGCCCUUUUGUUGGGAAAGAAAAGCAGCAGGUUAAUACCCCGCUGUUCUGACGGUACCCAAAGAAUAAGCACCGGCUAACUUCGUG